rnacentral:rRNA from 1 species
GGGGUUUUUUGUUCCUGGCUCGAUUGACGCUGGCGGCAGGCCUAACACAUGCAAGUCGAACGGUAACAGGAAGCAGCUUGCUGCUUUGCUGACGAGUGGCGGACGGGUGAGUAAUGUCUGGGAAACUGCCUGAUGGAGGGGGAUAACUACUGGAAACGGUGGCUAAUACCGCAUAACGUCGCAAGACCAAAGAGGGGGACCUUCGGGCCUCUUGCCAUCAGAUGUGCCCAGAUGGGAUUAGCUUGUUGGUGAGGUAACGGCUCACCAAGGCGACGAUCCCUAGCUGGUCUGAGAGGAUGACCAGCCACACUGGAACUGAGACACGGUCCAGACUCCUACGGGAGGCAGCAGUGGGGAAUAUUGCACAAUGGGCGCAAGCCUGAUGCAGCCAUGCCGCGUGUAUGAAGAAGGCCUUCGGGUUGUAAAGUACUUUCAGCGGGGAGGAAGGUGUUGUGGUUAAUAACCGCAGCAAUUGACGUUACCCGCAGAAGAAGCACCGGCUAACUCCGUGCCAGCCGCCGCGGUAAUU